rnacentral:rRNA from 1 species
CACGUAGGGCGCAAGCGUUGUCCGGAAUUAUUGGGCGUAAAGAGCUCGUAGGCGGUUUGUCGCGUCUGCUGUGAAAUUUCGGGGCUCAACCCCGAACUUGCAGUGGGUACGGGCAGACUAGAGUGUGGUAGGGGAGACUGGAAUUCCUGGUGUAGCGGUGAAAUGCGCAGAUAUCAGGAGGAACACCGAUGGCGAAGGCAGGUCUCUGGGCCACUACUGACGCUGAGAAGCGAAAGCAUGGGGAGCGAACAGG